rnacentral:lncRNA from 1 species
GGACUUUGGGAACACUGGGUCUGUGGUUUCAGGACAGGCUGCCUUCCUUCCACAGACACCUCACUGUCCCAUGCCAGCUAUUCUGCACAGAAAACUAAAUUUCAAAUGCUCUCAGGUAGGCCUAUUAACUCAUACAGAUCCUCUUUUAAGGCUUCACCUGUUAUAACUAAACCAGUCAGCUCCUGACAGCUGGAUAAUGGCUCAGCUGAAGAACACACAUGGAGCAGGGUACUGCUGCAUGCAAAUGCCAUGGGAAAAACAGGAGACACAAGCACAGAAGGCAACCAGGAGGUUUUUAAGGACAAGUAAAAGGAGAUGAAAACAAGAAAAUGACUGAAAUGGAAAUCUCAAAGACUGCCAAUCAAGGAACAAUUUGAUUAUUCAUCACAAGCACUCUAGUUUCAAGAGUAAAAAGUCUUAAGUAAGAAGAGAUUAUGAUUACCUUUGUGGAAGCAGUUCAGCUGCCCAAGGAGCUGUGAUAAUGCCAUCAGAGCUGCACAGAAAAGCCUUCCUGACUGGCCCAGCUACUAUGGACAUAUAUCCUGAUGAAGCAAAAAAUGACAUUAGAAGUUUAUUUUUGGGCAGCUUUUUCCCUCAGUCAG